UCACUCGUGAACAAGAUCUUGAGAUACUUAAACUCCUCCACUUGGGGAAAGACCCCCUCCCUGAUCCGGAGAGAGCACUCCACCCUUUUCCGGCUGAGGACCAUGGUCUCGGAUUUGGAGGUGCUGAUUCUCAUCUCAGCCGCUUCACACUCGGCUGCGAACUGCCCCAGUGAGACCCAAAGGUCACGGUCCGCUGAAGCCAACAGAACCACAUCAUCUGCAAAAAGCAGAGACCUAAUCCUGAGGUCACCAAACCGGACACCCUCAACACCCUGGCUGUGCCUAGAAAUUCCAUCCAUAAAAGUCUAGUGACCCGCGUCCAGGGGAAGGAGAACGUGAAUCCAUGUUUUUACUCAUCAUAAGAGGUCUAAUGAGCCGCAGUUCGUCUGGUUCCUCACCCAGGACCUGUUUGCCUUGGGUGACCCUACCAGGGGCAUAAAGCCCCGGGCAGCUUAGCUCCUGGGAUCACUGGAACACGCAAACCCCUCCACCACCAUAAGAGGCCCCAGCAGGAAUCAUCUGGUCUGGAUCAGCAUAGAAAUGGAUGGAUCUCCUCCUGAAAUGCACCCCCCUGUGGGGUGUAAGAGAAAGAGCCCUGAGAGUGUCCUGAUGAAGAGAGCAGACUCCCCUGUACCCAGCUGUGUUUCCCUGAAGAGUGACGCAUCAAUGGAUAAACCAAUUCUCUUCAGAGAGGGACCUUUUCCUACAGAUCAAAGUGUCCUGAUGAAGAGAGCAGACUCCCCUGUACCCAGCUGUGUUUCCCUGAAGAGUGACGCAUCAAUGGAUAAACCAAUUCUCUUCAGAGAGGGACCUUUUCCUACAGAUCAAAGAUUCCAUCACCUUGAGAAUUUAAACAAAAGUUUUGUCUGUAUUCUAUAUAAAUAACAUCUGAGGUAAAUGGAUGAGGAUUACUGUAAAACCUGACUUUCUGUUAGCUGGAAUUGGAAGUUAUUUAAUCGCAAAGUAGAUUUUAAAUUUCAGUCCUCAGCACAGAGCUGGAAAAAACUGGUUUGCCUGUUUCCCCCCUGCAUGUCCAUUAAAGAAAGACUCGACAAUAGAUUGUUGUCUCGUGAGACGGAUGUUUCUGUUUUGAUAAUUUCAUUCUCAUGAAUUCAUUAGAUCAUACUCAGACGAAGGCUUCAGUUUAACAUGUUUAAUCGAACUGUGUGGCUUAAACAAUAAACUACUAUCAUCAGACAAAAACGAAAAAGACUAUUGGUUUCUUUGCCAAAGGUGACGUUUAAAUACUUGCCGAUUCAGAUCAUAAUGAAUGUGACACUGUAGUGGUUCUCAUCCCCUGAGUAUAAAAUAAGAUGAUUUGUUGAUCCCAGGGUUAAAUUCUCUUGCGUUCAGCAGCAAAGUGCACAGAUACAAACAUACAAUGUAAAAGAAAGCCAACGUGCAAAGACAGUAGAUAUAGUGCAAGUAAGUAAACAUUUUUAGUAAUAAACAAAAUUUCUAUAGGUAAACAAGUUUAAGUACACAAUACACAAAAAAUAAAAUCCUAAAGAUCGAAUAUUGUUCAAGAAAUAAAUAUUUUAAUAAAUGGAUGUUAAUGGAUUUUAUUUAUAUAACAACAUAAUAAAUUAAAAAACAAGAGGAGGCCAUUCGGCCAAUUUGAUUAAAAACAGAGAGCAGCUUUUACCACAUUAAAAAUGGGACGUUAAGGCUGACUGUGGGGGCUGCACAUCGACAGCAGGCAUUGUGGUGUCUAACGGCAGCAGGCAGGAAAGAUCCCCAGUAGCGCUUCUUAGCUCACGGUGGGGAAAUGAGCCGGUGGCUGAAGGUGCUCCAAGAUAGCGCCCCCUGGAGCCUCGGCUGGGUUAUGGACCGGGCCAGUGGGGCCAGUGCCCUGGGGCCUCAGGACAUUAGAAGCUGUGAGUGGCAACAUUUAUAGCGCAAGCCAUGAAAUGCGCCCCCCCUGUGGGGUGUAAGAGAAAGAGCCCUGAGAGGUAAUAGUGUUACAGCCCACUAGCAUGCAUGUCUCUCUGGGUCUAUAGUCAGGCCAGAACAUAAAAGUAAACUGGGCUCCUAGCUAGGGCUGGUCAGUGGGCAGCACUUUAAUAUGUGUAGCUUAAUAAAAAGACCUCGCCAUCUUCUGUCUUCACCGUCUUCUUCCACAAUCAGCCAGUUCUUUUAUACUAGAGGCGAGUAACAGACCAUCCCUCCUAUCCAAAAUGGCCACAUAACAAAACUAAACAAACAAACAAAAACAUAUAUAAACAGGUAAAAAGGAACAUCAGUCAAGUCUAGUUGUGGAGGUUUUUAACGGUCAUACUAAAAGUUUCAUAUAAUAUCUAAAUUUUAGAUGAGACAAUUUCCUUAAAAGCU